rnacentral:rRNA from 1 species
ACGAACGCUGGCGGCGUGCCUCAUACCUGCACGUAGAACGCUGAAGGAGGAGCUUGCUUCUCUGGAUGAGUUGCGAACGGGUGAGUAACGCGUAGGUAACCUGCCUGGUAGCGGGGGAUAACUAUUGGAAACGAUAGCUAAUACCGCAUAAUAGUAGAUGUUGCAUGACAUUUGCUUAAAAGGUGCAAUUGCAUCACUACCAGAUGGACCUGCGUUGUAUUAGCUAGUUGGUGGGGUAACGGCUCACCAAGGCGACGAUACAUAGCCGACCUGAGAGGGUGAUCGGCCACACUGGGACUGAGACACGGCCCAGACUCCUACGGGAGGCAGCAGUAGGGAAUCUUCGGCAAUGGACGGAAGUCUGACCGAGCAACGCCGCGUGAGUGAAGAAGGUUUUCGGAUCGUAAAGCUCUGUUGUAAGAGAAGAACGAGUGUGAGAGUGGAAAGUUCACACUGUGACGGUAUCUUACCAGAAAGGGACGGCUAACUACGUG